AGGUUGAAAUGAAGUUAACCUUGAAACUAAUUAGGAGCUAAACCGAUGUAACAAUGGAGAAGCUUCAUUAAUUCACAUGUCCGAGUCUUGAGAGACGUUGGAAGAAAGUAUUCCAAACUUUCUCAGUACUUUUUAAGCUAGGAGGACGAUCUUCUUUAAAAGGAAGGAUGUCGUCUGCCUACUCACGCUCAAUGGUUACAUGAUCUUAUGUCAUACUAAAAUUCAGAGAAGAUCCGUUGUUCAAUUUCUGAAUCUAGCCAAGGCUUUCAAACAUUGUGGGGACCAUUUUUGAGCUAUUUUCAAAACUUAUGACUUGCUGUUAAAGUACA